rnacentral:rRNA from 1 species
UAAUACAUGCAAACAAGUCCCGACCAGAGAUGGAGAGGACGCUUUUAUUGGAUCAAAACCAUUCGCCCGGCUCGCCCGGGCGUUUGCCUGAUGAAUCUAGAUAACACCACAGAUCGCACGGUCAUUGUACCGGUGACAUAUCCUUCAAAUGUCUGACUUAUCAGCUGUCGAUGGUAGACUCUUUGUCUACCAUGGCGCUCACGGGUGACGGGGAAUCAGGGUUCGAUUCCGGAGAGGGAGCCUGAGAAACGGCUACCACAUCCAAGGAAGGCAGCAGGCACGCAAAUUACCCACUCCCGGCACGGGGAGGUAGUGACAAAAAAUAACGAUACGGGACUCAUCCGAGGCCCCGUAAUCGGAAUGAGAACACCCUAAAUCCUUUAACGAGGAUCUAUUGGAGGGCAAGUCUGGUGCCAGCAGCCGCGGUAAUUCCAGCUCCAAUAGCGUAUAUUAAAGUUGUUGCGGUUAAAAAGCUCGUAGUUGGUUCUGCGUGCCACGCUGUCGGUUCACCGCCUGCCGGUGCAACUGGCAUGCCGUGGCAUGUCCUGUCGGUGGCGGAUAGGCUUCGCGGCGUGCCCCAUGCGGCUUUACGUCAUGUGGGUUGUCGCUCCGCGUUGUCCUUGUACGCCGGCUCAAUCCUACCGCGGUGCUCUUUACCGAGUGUCGAGGUAGGCCGACAAUGUUUACUUUGAACAAAUUAGAGUGCUUAAAGCAGGCUCUUGAAUCAGCCUGAAUAGUGGUGCAUGGAAUAAUGGAACAGGACCUUGGUUCUAUUUUGUUGGUUUUCGGAAUCCAAGGUAAUGAUCAAUAAGGACAGGCGGGGGCAUUCGUAUUGCGACGUUAGAGGUGAAAUUCUUGGAUCGUCGCAAGACGCACUAGAGCGAA